rnacentral:tRNA from 1 species
AGGGGCUUGGCUUAAGGAAAGCGGUUGAUUUGCGUUCAGAAGAUGCGGGAUAGAGUCUUGCAGUCCCUA